rnacentral:rRNA from 1 species
AUGAGGUUGCUCAUGCUACUCCAUGGCGCGGCACUCGUGUUGCUUCUUGCGGCCGUUGCGCAUGCUCAACAAACAAUGAGGACCGACCUGGCUGACGCGGCAGCGCUGCACGCGGUGUUCGCCAAACUCGGUCAGAAGGCGGGGCCGCAAUGGAACAUCAGCGGCGAUCCCUGCACUGGCGCUGCCAUAGACAACACCAACAUCGACAACAACGACAUCUUCAGGGCCGCCAUCAAGUGCGAAGUCUGCACAGGCGGCAACACCUCCAUCUGCCGCAUCACCAGGCUGAAAAUAUACGCCCUGGACGCGGUGGGCCCCAUACCAGAAGAGUUGCGGAACCUCACAGCCCUGACCGAUCUGGAUUUAGGGCAAAACUACUUGACCGGGCCUUUACCAUCUUUCAUCGGGGAGUUGACUGAUAUGAAGUACAUUUCCUCUCUUCAACAUAUGAGGACUUUUGGGAUCAAUGCAUUAUCUGGACCUGUACCAAAGGAGCUCGGGAACCUUAAGAAUCUUAUAAAAUUAUGGGCAUCAGAUAAUGAUUUUACUGGGCAAAUACCAGAUUAUAUUGGUAGCUGGAGCGGCUUAACAGAGCUGAGGUUUCAGGGUAAUUCUUUUCAAGGUCCAAUUCCAGCUACUCUUUCCAAUCUUGGCCAAUUGGCAAGCUUACGAAUUGGUGAUAUAUUAAAUGGGAGCUCUUCUUCACUUGCAUUCAUCAAUAAUCUGACAUCUUUGAACACACUAGUUUUGAGGAACUGUAGGAUAUCUGAUAAGCUUGUAUCAAUUGACUUUUCGAAAUUCACGAGUUUAAAUUUACUAUUUCUUGGGAAUAAUAGCCUUUCAGGAAGCCUUCCAAGCUCAGUAGGAUCAUUGCUUAAAACUUUAGAUUUUUCUUACAACCAGCUCUCAGGAAGCAUUCCUUCAUGGGCAAAAAAUUCAGAAUUGAAUCUGGUGGCAAACAAUUUUGUGGCCGAUAGUUCCAGCAACAGUGUCUUACCUGCGGGGUGGGGGUGCCUUCAGCGUAAUACACCAUGUUUUCUUGAUUCUCGAAAUUCUUCUUCCUUUGCUGUGGACUCUGGAAAAUCCAUAGUAGGCCCAGAUAAUUCUGUGUAUGAACCUGAUCGUGCCAGUCUUGGAGCUGCGUCAUUAUAUGUUACAGGAGCACCAACAUGGGGUGUUAGCAACGUUGGAAAGUUCAUGGAGGCAAAUAAUGGAAGUUAUAUAAUCCACAGUCCUGGCCAGUUUCUCAAUACACUUGAACCAGAACUGUUCCAGAAUGCAAGGAUAUCGCCGUCAUCCUUAAGAUACUAUGGUAUUGGACUAGAAAAUGGAAACUAUACAGUCACACUUCUGUUUGCAGAGUUUGACUUCCCAGACACCCAGUCUUGGAAGAGCAGAGGUAGAAGGGUUUUUGAUAUAUAUGUCCAGGGUGAACGUAAGGAGCAGAACUUUGACAUAAGGAAGGCCGCAGGUGGGAAAUCUUUCACAGCUGUUAGGAAGCAGUAUACUGUUCCUGUCACGAAGAACUUUCUAGAAAUUCAUCUCUUCUGGGCUGGCAAGGGCACUUGCUGCAUUCCUACUCAAGGCUACUACGGGCCUGCGAUCUCAGCUUUGAGUGCAACACCAAGUAUAUCCCUUGACUUGAAAUAA